rnacentral:rRNA from 1 species
GCUGAGGUUUAUAGUUUUAUAUAAGGUUUAGGAGAUGUGUAUUUUAGAUGAGAUGUGUUGGCUUUCAGCAUUAUAUUAGCUAUAAUAAAACAUUGAUCUUGCAUGAAAUUUAAAGAGUUCUUGAGAGGGGAGUACGGUUAGAAAGGGUUUUAAUAGUUCUUUUGUAAUUGGUUGUAUCUAUUAGUUGAGGUCUCAAUACGUUAGGGGCGUUACAUUGAUGGAUGAUUUAUUUCUCAACAUCAGCAGUUAGGAUUUGGAUAUUAUAGAAAUAUAGACUAGGCAAUUGUUUUUAGGAGGGAUGAAUGAUGUGCCAGCAUUCGCGGUUAAACAUCGUCUUCAAGUUAAUAUAUAAUCGUGGAACAGUAAGGUUGAAAUAGUUAAAAAGUUUUGUUGGCAGAUUUAACGGUGAAAUGUGUAAAUAAUCUAGGUUAAAUGUAGUGGUUCAUGGUAAAUUUUUUUUAUUUUGGACUACUGUUUGGCUGUGCCAUGUACUGUAAGACUUUAAAAAUUUAAGCUGAGGAAGCUGUGUAUUAAAGACAAGGAUUAGAGACCCUUUUAUUUAGGCUGAAGCUAGGUUUUCCAUGGGUAUGAUGAACGUUAUAAUAAGUUUAGUAGCUUAUGAGAGUUGGCGGCAUUUUGCAACCUUUUAGGGGAACUUGGCGUUUAAACCGAUGAUCCUCGAAAAUCUUACCUCUAAUUUUCCUUUCAUACCGCCGUUGUCAGCGAGUUUUGAAAAAUUGAUUCGCGUAUACAAAGUCUAAAAUUAGUUUAGUGAAAUAUUUUUUUUGUGAGAAUUCAGGUAGACGUGUAGGUGUUUUAGAGGGAUUAGCUGAGUUACAAUUAUUGAAUAAUAGCGGAUGAAUAAGUUUGUCUACUAGUGUAUAGUUUACUAAGUUGGGUUGGGUGUUUUCUUGUGCUAGAGCUUCUGAAAAGUAUCUUUGAAGAUGGACUUUAUAGUAAAAUUUUUUAUAAGCAAGAAGUUUGAAUUGAGUAAAAAAAAUGUGUACAAAUCGCCCGGUGUCCUUCUCGUAAGAAGAGGUAAGCCGUAACAUAGUGAUGCUAGUAGAAACUGGCGUCGAUGA